GGGGAGGGGGGGGGGUGUGUGGUGUUUGGGUUGGGCGCUCGCCAAGGCAGUUCCCAUUGAAAAACAUUGGUUAGGUUUUAUUUCUGCUGUGCUUGUAAGAAUGACAGAAAAUAAACAAUGAUAGCCAUGUAAUAAUUCAGUCAAGUUUCGCAUUUUAAAAUAUGAGUUAAAUAACUUAUCAGAAAUACAUAUUGGUCGCCAAAUAGGGAAUCACUUCACGUGAAAAUGCCUAGCAACAAAAACUAGUGUGGAAACAUGUCACCCAAUUAAGGGGUAGAUGAAUCUAAGUAGACAAAUGUUGAGCAAUUGUGCAAGGGCAUUACCUGACAUUAGUAGGAAGAUA
rnacentral:misc_RNA from 1 species